rnacentral:snoRNA from 1 species
CCUCUGCGAUGAUGAAUUAUGAAAAUAUUCACAUGUCAGACUUCGGAGAUAACAAUCAAUGAGAAGAAAAUUCAUGUCUCUGAGCAGAAG